rnacentral:sRNA from 1 species
AAAAGAAAGAAAACUCCAACUAAACCCUGGUAAACCCAGAGGGGACACAGAGAGUAAACCCAGUCAGAAGUAUACCCCUGAAAGCAGAAGCUAACUGUGUAUUCGGAAUAUACAAGGAGCAGGAAUCACAGGCAGUAGGAUGAUAAGAUAAAAUGCAGUCUCAUAUGUCUUCAAAAACACUGGUGUGACGUCAUUCCGUGGUUGCAGAAGUCUAAAAUUUUACUUAUGACAGUCCGAUAUUAGUGAGCUUCUUAAUACCCAGUGGAAACCAGUGGUUACAGUACUGAUAUCCUUAAACAUCGGAUUGUCUCAGGUGAAUCAGCAAUGAACUGCAAUGGCAAUGUUUUAAGUAUGAUAUGUGCCUCAAACACUUCUGUAUGAAAAAAUAUCAGACAGUUCUUGGCCCAAGCAGGUCUCAAAACUCUAAGAUAUUUUUUCGUACAGAACUGUUCUCGGCAAUUAUCCAAUACAUAUCAGCUAAGGAUUUUGUUGUUGGUAAACCUUAGAGUGGAUAAUAGCCAUGAAUAUAACUGAUAUUUUUCAUUAACCAUGCAUGCUGCACUUUAAAAUGUAUGUACUUUUUUGUAAGUACAAUAUAUUGUUUUUUUUUACACGAGGAGUAUGUAUAAAAAAUAAAGAAAAGACGU